rnacentral:lncRNA from 1 species
UGCAAAUCCUGAUUCUGAAGCUCCUGGACUAAUGACAAUCAUAUCCCUUGCCCUUCAAUCUCUUUUUCGACAGCCACCCUAACCCAGAAUCCUAAACAAGAGGCGUAGCCAUGAUAGGAUCUCUCUCCUAUUUCCCUUCUGAGUGUUGUCCAUUGCUUCUAGCCUAUUCCCAUCUUUCUUGUCCUGACCCAAGUCACCUUCCUGGGGAAGGGCCCCCUCCUCUGCCUGUUUCUGUACCAGCACCUACCUUUUCCCUAUCAACAGCUCGCUUUCCUGGUUCAUUCCAUUCCUUAAUAUGUAUCAACUCAAUUUAAUAAGCAAGUGUUUAUUUAGCAAUAGAACUGGGUCAGACCCUAUCGUGCCCUUGAGGAGGAAGGCAAACUAGAAGCUGUGAUUAAGUUAACAGAUAAGACAAAUAAAUAACAGGAUAUAUAAGGUGAGGAGAGACCUUAGUGACUGCCCAGCUCAGUUCCUCAUUUUAUAAGUAAUGUUUAAGAGCAAUGACCCACUCCUACUUUCAGCAAAGAGGUGCACAUAGCAUAGACCCAUAGAAGAGGAAGGAUCUGAGAAGGAGUUUGAAAAAAGUGUAGGAGAGGCUGCGAGAAAACAAGGCAGGUGUCCUGGCUGAGGGCAGGAAGGAGACAUUGCGAUGGAAAUUGUGCCCCAUUUUCUUGGAGGAUUGGGAAGAGGACCUGUGGACUGGGCGGCCCACACAACUGCUGUAACCUCAGGCAGUUUUCAAGCAGAUUGACCUUCCUGCUGGAACACGGCACAUGAGGUGAAGUUCUCCUCUACCCAGGAGAAAAUGAACAGCUGGACAAUGCUCCUGGUCAGUAGGCCUGAAGGAUGCUGGGAUGCAGCCCUCAAGAUGGAACAGCCAGGAUGCCAAGUAUCCCUCUUGCCCAGAUCCUAAGGCACUUUUUCUACUGAUCCAUAUUGGCCUCAGGAGAUGUCUCAACACAGCACCCCAGCCAAUGGAGCUGCCACAUAAGAUGAACUCUUGAUCAUCUCUAAACUAGAGAGUUAAACUCAACACUAGCAAACGACUUUGGGUUUAUGCAUAUGUCAUGUUUUCUCUGGCAACUGCACAGAAUCAUCUCUAAAUAUCACAUCUAUGGUUGGCAGGAGUGGCAUGUAUAAUACAAAAUGUCUGGUGGCCCUACUGUCACAAAACCUGUAUAAAAGUAAAUUCACAAAUGGCUUUUUAGAACUGAUGACAAAAAGUUACUCGUUAUCACUUUUCUAAUUAAUUUCCUAAAAGGGCAAUUUGAAAUCAUACUGGGAUUCUCACAAUUUUGGUUGACAGUCAAGUAAAUUGCAGCUACUUAUCAAGCACUUUUGAAUGAAUACAUGAAGAAUGAAUAAAAUGAAAGCUCUCCUGUUGCCCUCAGCAUCACCAGUGUUCUGUAUUUCUUCCUGUAACCUUUCCAUUGGUUUAAAAACCUUUCUCAAGUGAAAGCAAUCUCUUUAAAAACUGCAACAUACUGCUGAUGAGUUUUUGCUGUGGAAACAUUCUCUAUGCCUGCAAACCAAAUCACCCUCUCUCUUUUCCUGGGAAGCACAUCUUUCUCAGAGCAGAGCUUUGCAAAAAGGGGAAACCAAAGCUUCCACGAGGUGAUAGUUACAGCUGCUCUCUCUUCCUGUUGCCCCAGGUGCCAAGGUGCAGAGGGGCAAGGCGGCAAGGCCUAGCCUGGGCAGAACUUGUCUGUCGUUAACUUUGCAAACUGACUUUCUGAACAACUGUGGUUUAU